rnacentral:rRNA from 1 species
AGGUCAAGCUACAAAGGGCUAACGGUGGAUACCUAGGCACACAGAGGCGAAGAAGGACGUAGUUACCGACGAUACGCUCCGGGGAGCUGGAAGCAAGCAUUGAGCCGGAGAUUUCCCAAUGGGGCAACCCCAAGAACGGUCACCUGAAUCUAUAGGGUGAUGCGAGCAAACUGGGCGAACUGAAACAUCUUAGUAACCCAAGGAAGAGAAAGCAAAAGCGAUUCCCCUAGUAGCGGCGAGCGAAGAGGGACAAGCCUAAACCAUCGACUAAGGUUGAUGGGGUUGUGGGACAGUGACGUGGACUGUAGCGGUUAAACGAAGCAGCUGAAAACUGCACCAGAGAAGGUGAAAGUCCUGUAGUUGAAAACUUAAGCAGCCUAACUGUAUCCCGAGUAGCACGGAGCCCGUGGAAUUCCGUGUGAAUCAGCGAGGACCACCUCGUAAGGCUAAAUACUCCUGUGUGACCGAUAGAGAAACAGUACCGCGAGGGAAAGGUGAAAAGAACCCCGGAAGGGGAGUGAAAUAGAACAUGAAACCGUUAGCCUACAAGCAAUGGGAGGACGAUUUAACGUCUGACCGUGUGCCUGUUGAAGAAUGAGCCGGCGACUUACAGGCUGUGGCAGGUUAAAUGGGAUGACCAUGAAGCCAAAGUGAAAGCGAGCCUGACAAGGGCGAUAGUCACAGUUUGUAGACCCGAACCCGGGUGAUCUAACCAUGGCCAGGAUAAAGCUAGGGUAAUACCUUGUGGAGGUCCGAACCGACUUCUGUUGAAAAAGGAGCGGAUGAGCUGUGGUUAGGGGUGAAAUGCCAAUCGAACCCGGAGCUAGCUGGUUCUCCCCGAAAUGCGUUUAGGCGCAGCGGUUGUGUACCUUAUGGGGGGGUAAAGCACUAUUUCGCUGCGGGCUGCGAGAGCGGUACCAAAGCGAGAUAAACUCAGAAUACCCUGUAAGCAUCAACCAGUGAGACGGUGGGGGAUAAGCUUCAUCGUCGAAAGGGAAACAGCCCAGACCACCAGCUAAGGUCCCCAAAUAAAUACUAAGUGAUAAAGGAGGUGGGAGUGCAUAGACAACCAGGAGGUUUGCCUAGAAGCAGCAAUCCUUGAAAGAGUGCGUAAUAGCUCACUGGUCAAGCGCUCCUGCGCCGAAAAUGAACGGGGCUAAGUAUUUUACCGAAGCUGUGGACUCAAUGAACAAUAAACAAUGAACAAUGAACAAUGAGAAUAAGAUUGUUAAUUAUUAAUUGUUAAUUAUUAAUUGUUUGGUAGGGGAGCGUUCUGUAUAGGGUGAAGCACUAGCGGCAAGCAGGUGUGGACAGUACAGAAGUGAGAAUGUCGGCUUGAGUAGCGAAAAUAUAUGUGAGAAUCGUAUACCCCGAAAUCCUAAGGGUUCCUCCGGAAGGCUCGUCCGCGGAGGGUUAGUCGGGACCUAAGGCGAGGCCGAAAGGCGUAGUCGAUGGAAACAAGGUUAAUAUUCCUUGACUGUGAUGAGGGAGUUUAGUUAGGGACGCAUGACGAUUAGUCAUACCCUGAAUGGAUUGGGAGGAGACUACGGUCUCUGCAUGAUGAACAAUAGUGCCAAGAAAAGCUAACUAAACGUUGAACUCAUGACACUCGUACCCGAAACCGACACAGGUAGGAAGGUAGAGAAUACUAAGGGGCGCGAGAUAACUCUCUCUAAGGAACUCGGCAAAAUGACCCCGUAACUUCGGGAGAAGGGGUGCCACCGAGAGGUGGUCGCAGUGAAUAGGCCCAGGCGACUGUUUACCAAAAACACAGGUCUCUGCCAAGUCGUAAGACGCAGUAUAGGGGCUGACGCCUGCCCAGUGCCGGAAGGUUAAGGAAGUUGGUUAGUUUCGACGAAGCUAGCGACCGAAGCCCCGGUGAACGGCGGCCGUAACUAUAACGGUCCUAAGGUAGCGAAAUUCCUUGUCGGGUAAGUUCCGACCCGCACGAAAGGCGUAACGAUCUGGGCACUGUCUCGGAGAGAGGCUCGGCGAAAUAGGAUUGUCUGUGAAGAUACGGACUACCUGCACCUGGACAGAAAGACCCUAUGAAGCUUUACUGUAGCUUGGAAUUGGGUUCGGGCUUCCUUUGCGCAGCAUAGGUGGGAGGCGUUGAAGUUUUCCUCGUGGGGAGAAUGGAGCCAACGGUGAGAUACCACUCUAGGGAGGCUAGAAUUCUAACUUAAGCCCGUAAUCCGGGUUAAGAACAGUUUCAGGUGGGCAGUUUGACUGGGGCGGUCGCCUCCUAAAAGGUAACGGAGGCGCGCAAAGGUUCCCUCAGGCUGGUUAGAAAUCAGCCGCAGAGUGCAAAGGCAGAAGGGAGCUUGACUGCGAGACAAACAAGUCAAGCAGGGACGAAAGUCGGCCUUAGUGAUCCGACGGCACCGAGUGGAAGGGCCGUCGCUCAACGGAUAAAAGUUACUCUAGGGAUAACAGGCUGAUCUCCCCCAAGAGUUCAUAUCGACGGGGAGGUUUGGCACCUCGAUGUCGGCUCAUCGCAGCCUGGGGCUGUAGUAGGUCCCAAGGGUUGGGCUGUUCGCCCAUUAAAGCGGUACGUGAGCUGGGUUCAGAACGUCGUGAGACAGUUCGGUCCAUAUCCGGUGUAGGCGUAAGAGCAUUGAGAGGAGCCUUCCUUAGUACGAGAGGACCGGGAAGGACGCACCGCUGGUGUACCUGUUAUCGUGCCAACGGUAAACGCAGGGUAGCCAAGUGCGGAGCGGAUAACCGCUGAAAGCAUCUAAGUGGGAAGCCCACCUCAAGAUGAUUGCUCUCACAGGGUUAACCUGGUAAGGUCACGGGAAGACCACCCGUUAAUAGGCACUCGGUGGAAGUCCAGCAAUGGAUGAAGCCAAGGUGUACUAACAGACCGAGGGCUUGACCUU